rnacentral:rRNA from 1 species
GAUGAACGCUAGCUACAGGCUUAACACAUGCAAGUCGAGGGGUAGCAGGGUAGCAAUACCGCUGACGACCGGCGCACGGGUGAGUAACACGUAUUCAACCUUCCCAUAACUCGGGGAUAGCCUUUCGAAAGAAAGAUUAAUACCUGAUAGUACUUAAGAAAGGCAUCUUUUUUAAGUUAAAGAUUUAUUGGUUAUGUAUGUGGAUGCGUUCCAUUAGAUAGUUGGUGAGGUAACGGCUCACCAAGUCUUCGAUGGAUAGGGGUUCUGAGAGGACGGUCCCCCACAUUGGGACUAAGACACGGACCAAACUCCUACGGGAGGCAGCAGUGAGGAAUAUUGGUCAAUGGGCGAGGGCCUUAACCAGCCAAGUAGCGUGAAGGAUGAAGGUCCUAUGGAUUGUAAACUUCUUUUAUAGUAGAAUAAAGUGAACCACGUGUGGUUUUUUGUAUGUAUACUAUGAAUAAGGAUCGGCUAACUCCGUGCCAGCCGCCGCCGUAA